rnacentral:sRNA from 1 species
UCCUGUGCAACCGCGCGAAAAUCGUUUUAAGUAGAGUAAUCUCACGAUUCCCAGGCGAGUCUUCACAGA